UACAGAGGUCUCAAGCGUUGUUCGGAUUCAUUGGGCGUAAAGGGUGCGUAGGCGGCGCGGUAAGUCGGGUGUGAAAUCUCGGGGCUUAACUCCGAAACUGCAUUCGAUACUGCCGUGCUUGAGGACUGGAGAGGAGACUGGAAUUUACGGUGUAGCGGUGAAAUGCGUAGAUAUCGUAAGGAAGACCAGUGGCGAAGGCGAAUCUCUGGACAGUUACUGACACUGAGCACGAAGGCCAGGGGAGCAAACGGG
rnacentral:rRNA from 1 species